CGAAGUUCAGUACAGUAUAAGCUUCAGAUGAAUCAGUACGCGUUUGUGUUUCAUUGCAACAAACGAUUUGGAGUGACAGUGUUACUGGGAUGUUCCUAUUCUUGAUUCUUUCUUGAAAUUCACUGCUGUACAUGUAAUAUUUGGAAGCAGAAUUUUUUGUUAGACAUCAGUAGCACCGUGAGAGGUCAAAGUUUAUUUUGAGAAUGUUUAUGUAAUUACAGUAAUUUGUAUAAGAAAGUAAGUUAGGGUGAACGUGGGGGACUUGAAAAUGUUCCCACGUUCCCGCUGCGCAAGUGUGUGUUGCACGUGCGUGUGAAAUUCUUCAGUAAGAAGAUGAACGCCCAGGGGCAAGAGCACGGUCAUGCUGUCGUUGUGUGGGAGUGGGAAAAUCGUCACGGACGAUGGAGACCUUACAGCCCUGCGGUAUCGCAACAUCUCGAAAGAGCACAUUGCAAAAAACUUACUCGAGUUUUCCUUAAUGAUGCGGACCCAAAUUUAGAUAGGUACUAUAUAAAUUUGAAGACUAAAACACAAUGCAGCGAGAAUGGGGAUGAAACGCAUAAUGUUAGAAGGAAGUUUUAUCUUCCAAGCUCACCAGCUGGAAAGGGAGCUAAGUGGGAAUGGGCUGGUGAUACAGAUGAUUGGCACACAUAUGAUAUGGAAGUGCAAUGUCUCAUAGAAGAAGCAUGGGCAAGAGGAGACAAAACUAUUGAUAUAUCUAAGACAUACUUAGGUUUUCCUUAUAUAAUCAAUUUUUGUAAUUUAACUCAAGUACGUUGUUGUACUGGAUAUGUAAGGCCAAUACGCCGUAUUCAACAAGCGCCCUAUCCUUUGGUUAAAGUUGCUCUAGAAGAGUUACAAAUUAUAUCUGGAAAAAAACCCACAUGUGUAACUGUUAAAAGUUCUACUACAAAAAUUGCUCAUAAGAAAUCAGCUACAGGAAAUGCCAAAAAAAAUAAGAAGGGAAAGAAUGGAGAUACUGGUCCAUCUAACAUAGCUCGUGUUAUUUUGAGCAAUUUUAACAUAUUUAGUAACAAACAUGGUAUAGAAAAUAGUAAUUCGGUCACAGCUAUUGAAUCUGGACAAAAAAGAAAAACAUGGGAUAAUGCAUUGGAUGUAGAUUCUAGUAGCACAAAAAGCGGACGAAGACCUAGUGUUGAUACUGUUUCUACAUACCUAAGUCAUGAAAAUCCAGUAGAUUUAUUGGAUAGCAGUGUAGGGAGUGAUGAUGCAUUUAAGGAUUCCGUUUUAGAUACCGAGUCGGAUGUUAUUUCUCAAUAUGUAAAAGUAGUAGAAAGCGAUGAUUCUGAUUCUUGCCCUGUGUGCCUUGGUAUGCCUGAGCCACUAACAGUAGAGUUGACUCGUUGUAGACAUAGAUUACAUUUGGCAUGUUUAAAUGCUAUGCUAAGUUGUCAGCAACCUCCUAUGUACAUACAGUGUCCAGUUUGUCGUUUAAUUUAUGGAGAAAAACGGGGAAAUCAACCUCCGGGAACUAUGAAUUGGACAAGAAUACCGCGUGCUCUUCCUGGUUUUCCAAAUACAAAUACGAUACAAAUAACUUAUGAUAUUCCAUCAGGAAUUCAAGGAAAUGAACAUCCCAAUCCUGGUCAAGCUUAUUAUGCUGUAGGCUUUCCUAGAGUGUGUUACCUUCCUGACAAUAAUUUAGGCCGUAGAGUUUUAAGACUAUUACAAAUCGCGUUUGAAAGAAGACUGAUAUUUACGAUCGGACGAUCAGUAACCACUGGGCGAGAGGAUGUAGUAACGUGGAAUGAAAUUCACCACAAGACUGAAUUGGGACCAUCGACAUCUGGUCACGGUUAUCCUGACACAAGUUAUCUCGAAAGAACAUUAGCUGAAUUAGCAGCUCAAGGUGUAACAGAUGGGCAACUGUCUCCUGCAGUAUAUCAAACAUUACAUUGAGUAUAUCACAUGCAAUAAUGUGCUGACAUUAAUAUAUUAUAAAUGCACAGUGUCAUAUUAUAAUAUUCUUCAGUUGUUUCUAAACAGAUGAUGAAAAACUUGCAGUCUUGAUAGUCUUGGAAAUGCAAAACUGAUUUUAUCGAGGAUCUAGCGUCAUUAUAAGAAGAACAUGUAAUCUGGGGAUAGCUAAUGGGAAAGGAAGGCUUCCCCAUUUUUCCUGGAGAAGCCUACCAUGCUCAUGAAAAACAAAUUUAUACAUAUAUAGCACAUAACGCACACAAUUUCUUUCUAAGAAAUAAAGAAUGUUUUAAUUAUAUUCUUGUAGAUUAAGGAUUUAUUUAAAAUA